AGCCUGAUCCAGCAAUGCCGCGUGUGGGAAGAAGGCCUUCGGGUUGUAAACCACUUUUGUGCGGAACGAAACGGUUCGCUUUAAUACAGUGGGCUAAUGACGGUACCGUAAGAAUAAGCACCGGCUAACUACGUGCCAGCAGCCGCGGUAAUACGUAGGGUGCAAGCGUUAAUCGGAAUUACUGGGCGUAAAGCGUGCGCAGGCGGUUAUAUAAGACAGUUGUGAAAUCCCCGGGCUCAACCUGGGAAUUGCAUCUGUGACUGUAUAGCUAGAGUACGGUAGAGGGGGAUGGAAUUCCGCGUGUAGCAGUGAAAUGCGUAGAUAUGCGGAGGAACACCGAUGGCGAAGGCAAUCCCCUGGACCUGUACUGACGCUCAUGCACGAAAGCGUGGGGAGCAAACAGGAUUAGAUACCC
rnacentral:rRNA from 1 species